GGCUCGUUGGUCUAGGGGUAUGAUUCUUGCUUCGGGUGCGAGUGGUCCCGGUUUCAAUUCCCGGACGAGCCC
rnacentral:tRNA from 1 species